ensembl:snoRNA
AACUUUUUGUUGCCCUGUUCACUUUUUGAAACUAGUGAAAGUGGAGUCAAAAAGGCAUAAAUAAAUGCUUUUCAGCUUUUUCCUACCCUUUAAUUUGAUACUUUAAUGUAGGAGUUGUAUAAGUAACAAAA